rnacentral:rRNA from 1 species
GGCGGACGGGUGAGUAAUGCUUGGGAACUUGCCUUUGCGAGGGGGAUAACAGUUGGAAACGACUGCUAAUACCGCAUAAUGUCUACGGACCAAAGGGGGCUUUUAGCUCUCGCGUGAAGAGAGGCCCAAGUGAGAUUAGCUAGUUGGUGAGGUAAAGGCUCACCAAGGCGACGAUCUCUAGCUGUUCUGAGAGGAAGAUCAGCCACACUGGGACUGAGACACGGCCCAGACUCCUACGGGAGGCAGCAGUGGGGAAUAUUGCACAAUGGGGGAAACCCUGAUGCAGCCAUGCCGCGUGUGUGAAGAAGGCCUUCGGGUUGUAAAGCACUUUCAGUUGUGAGGAAAGGUUGGUAGUUAAUACCUGCCAGCUGUGACGUUAACAACAGAAGAAGCACCGGCUAACUCCGUGCCAGCAGCCGCGGUAAUACGGAGGGUGCGAGCGUUAAUCGGAAUUACUGGGCGUAAAGCGCACGCAGGCGGUUUGUUAAGCUAGAUGUGAAAGCCCCGGGCUCAACCUGGGAUGGUCAUUUAGAACUGGCAGACUAGAGUCUUGGAGAGGGGAGUGGAAUUCCAGGUGUAGCGGUGAAAUGCGUAGAGAUCUGGAGGAACAUCAGUGGCGAAGGCGACUCCCUGGCCAAAGACUGACGCUCAUGUGCGAAAGUGUGGGUAGCGAACAGGAUUAGAUACCCUGGUAGUCCACACCGUAAACGCUGUCUACUAGCUGUGUGUGUAUUUUAUACGUGCGUAGCGAAGCUAACGCGCUAAGUAGACCGCCUGGGGAGUACGGCCGCAAGGUUAAAACUCAAAUGAAUUGACGGGGGCCCGCACAAGCGGUGGAGCAUGUGGUUUAANUUCGAUGCAACGCGAAGAACCUUACCUACACUUGNACAUGCAGAGAACUUUCUAGAGAUAGAUUGGUGCCUUCGGGAACUCUGACACAGGUGCUGCAUGGCUGUCGUCAGCUCGUGUCGUGAGAUGUUGGGUUAAGUCCCGCAACGAGCGCAACCCUUGUCCUUAGUUGCCAGCAUUAGGUUGGGCACUCUAAGGAGACUGCCGGUGACAAACCGGAGGAAGGUGGGGACGACGUCAGGUCAUCAUGGCCCUUACGUGUAGGGCUACACACGUGCUACAAU